UUUUCUUCUAAUAAGUUAAAUAGAAAAAAUAAAAAAUAGAUUUAUUAAACAAUUACAAUAUAGAGCUAUGGUAUUUUGGUUUCCCUCCGCAUUUUUUUCACGAUUUUGUUUCACCCUAACCAAAACCCUUUGCUCUCACGUUCUGCGUUAUCUUCCGCCCUCCUCGUCGCUGAUCUUUAAUCUCUUCAUCAUCGUUGCUUGAAGCAGGCGAAUUGGAGAUUAAUGUUUCUGGAUUGGCGAUUGGGACUCUAAAUUGGCGAUACAGAAAAAUUGGCAAAUUUCGUUUCUGAAUUAGCGAGAAGAAUAAGGUUAGUUGUUAUGUAUCUCUUUGAAUUUGGUCUUAAAUUUUACGAUUUUGUUGGUUAAGUUAUCAAGCGAUUAUAAUUGAAUAUUUUUUUGUGUGGUUUUGAGAGCUAAGUUAGGGUUCUAGUAGGCAAGUAGGGUAAUUGGGGAAUUGGAGAUUGAUGCUUCUAAAUUGGCGAUUGGGACUCUGAGUUGGAUAUGCAGAUAAAUUAUCAAAUUGAGUUUCUGAAUUAGCGAGAAGAACAAGGAUGGUGCAUAUAUUCAAGAAUUACAAGCUACUUAAAAUGUGUGAAGAUUCGUAGGGUUUUUGGCACAUGAAUAUGAUAUAUGUUUUGAAAAAUAAAGUUAUCGGACAGUGAUCGCAGGAUUUUUUUUUAAUUUAAUGGAUUUAGUUUUAGAACCUAUAUUUUUUUUACUAUUCAAACAAUUGUAACAGAUAUUAUGCUUAUGAAAUUAAGCUAUUUGAAAUGUAUACAUUUUUUGAA